rnacentral:rRNA from 1 species
CUCUUAAGGUAGCGUAGUACCUUGCCGCUUCAGUAGCGGCUUGCAUGAAUGGAUUAACGAGAGCGUCGCUGUCCCAACGUUGGGCCCGGUGAACCAUACGUUCCAGUGCGGAGUCUGGAGACACCCAGGGGGAAGCGAAGACCCUAUGGAGCUUUACUGCAAGCUGUCGCUGGGACAUGGUCGCUGAUGUGCAGGAUAGGUAGGAGACACUACACAGGUGCGUGCGCCAGCACGUCGCCGAGUCAACACUGAAAUACUACCCGUCAGUGACUGUGACCCUCACUCCGGGAGGAGGACACCGAUAGCUGGGCAGUUUGACUGGGGCGGUACGCGCUCGAAAAGAUAUCGAGCGCGCCCUAAGUCCAUCUCAGUCGGGACAGAGACCCGACGGAGAGUGUAAGAGCAAAAGAUGGAUUGACAGUGAUCUUCCCAACGAGGAUCGCUGACGCGAAAGCGUGGUCUAGCGAACCAAUGAGCCUGCCCGAUGCGGGCCAUUGAUGACAGAAAAGCUACCCUAGGGAUAACAGAGUCGUCACGCGCAAGAGCACAUAUCGACCGCGUGGCUUGCUACCUCGAUGUCGGUUCCCUCCAUCCUGCCCGUGCAGACGCGGGCGUGAGCUGGGUUUAGACCGUCGUGAGACAGGUCGGCUGCUAUCUACUGGGUGUGUUUGACGCUUGACAGGAACGACCGUAUAGUACGAGAGGAACUACGGUUGGGUGCCACUGGUUUACCAGUUGUCCGAGAGGGCACUGCUGGGCAGCUACGCACCACGGGGUAACGGCUGAAUGCAUCUAAGCCGGAAACCCACCUGGAAAAGAAGCGUCGCCGAGGUCUCUCGUAGAAGACGAGAUCGAUAGACUCGGGGUGUACGCGUCGAGGCAACGAGACGUUCAGCCCGCGAGCACUAACCGACCGAAGCCACCAAUCU